AGUUCGAUUCUGGCUCAGAUUGAACGGCUGGCGGGAUGCUUUACACAUGCAAAUGAACGGCAGCACUGACCGCUCUCGGUCUGGUGGCGAGUGGCGAACGGGGUGAGUAAUGUAUCGGAACGUGCCUAGUAGCGGUGAUACCUUACGCGAAAGGUAGCUAAUACCGCACACGGCCCUUCGGGGAAAGCGGGGACCUUCGGGCCUCAAUUAUUAGAGCGCUUGAUAUCGGAUUAGCUAGGCUGGUGGCAACGGCUCACCAAGGCGACGAUCCGUGGCUGGUUUGAGAGGACGACCAGCCACACGGGACCGAGACACGGCCCAGACUCCUACGGGAGGCAGUGGGGAAUUUUGGACAAUGGGGAAACCCUGAUCCAGCCAUCCCGCGUGCGAUGAAGGCCUUCGGGUUGUAAGCACUUUUGGCAGGAAAGAAACGGGCAGACGGAGAAUAUCUCGUGCAACUGACGGUAUCAGAGAAGGCACCGCUAACUACGUGCCAGCAGCCGCGGUAAUACGCAGGGCAAGCGUUAAUCAAUACUGGGCGUAAAGCGUGCGCAGGCGGUUCGGAAAGAAAGAUGUGAAAUCCCAGAGCUUAACUUUGGAACUGCAUUUUUAACUACCGAGCUAGAGUGUGUCAGAGGGAGGGAAUUCCUGCGUGUAGCAGUGAAAUGCGUAGAUAUGCGGAGGAAUACCGAUGGCGAAUACAGCCCUGGGAUAACACUGACGCUCGGCGCACGAGCGGGAGCAACAGGAUUAGAUACCCCGGUAGUCCUACGCCCCAAACGAUGUCAACUAGCUGUUGGGGCCUUUCGGGCCUUGGAAGGCAGCUAACGCGUGAAGUUGACCGCCUGGGGAGUACGGCUGCAAGAUUAAAAACCUCAAAGGAAUUGACGGGACCUGCAAGCAAGCGGCGGAUGAUGUGGAUUAAUUCGAUGCAACGAAAAACCUUACCUACCCUUGACAUGUCUGGAAUCCCGAAGAGAUUUGGGAGUGCUGCAAGAGAACCGGAACACAGGUGCUGCAUGGCUGCUGUCAGUUCGUGUCGUGAGAUGUUGGGUUAACCUGCAACGAGCUGCAACCUCGGUCAUUAGUUGCUACGAAAGGGCACUCAUCGAGACUGCCGGUGACAAACCGGAGGAAGGUGGGGAUGACGUCAAGUCUCAUGGCCCUUGCAGGUAGGGGCUUCGCUAUCGCCACAAUGGUCGUGACAGGGUCGCCGUCUGCAGUGGGAGCUAACUUGCAAACCCGAUCGUAGUCCGGAUCGCAGUCUGCAACUCGGACUGCGUGAAGUUUGGAACGCUAGUAAUCGCGGAUCAGCGUCGCGGUGAAUACGUUCCCGGGUCUUGUACACACCGCCCGUCACAUUCAUGGGAGUGGGUUUUACCGAAGUAGUUAGCCUAACCGUAAGGAGGGCGAUUACCACGGUAGGAUUCAUGACUGGGUGAAGUCGUAACAAGGUAGCUCUGUUACUACCUUAGGCGAUGCUCCUG
rnacentral:rRNA from 1 species